GAGGGGAAACGACAUCGAAAGCUUGCUUUCGAUGGGCGUCGACCGGCGCACGGGUGGGUAACGCGUAUCCAACCUGCCCAUCACUUGGGGAUAACCUUGCGAAAGUAAGACUAAUACCCAAUGACGUCUCUAGAAGACAUCUGAAGGAGAUUAAAGAUUUAUCGGUGAUGGAUGGGGAUGCGUCUGAUUAGCUUGUUGGCGGGGUAACGGCCCACCAAGGCGACGAUCAGUAGGGGUUCUGAGAGGAAGGUCCCCCACAUUGGAACUGAGACACGGUCCAAACUCCUACGGGAGGCAGCAGUGAGGAAUAUUGGUCAAUGGGCGAGAGCCUGAACCAGCCAAGUAGCGUGCAGGAUGACGGCCCUAUGGGUUGUAAACUGCUUUUAUAAGGGAAUAAAGUGAGCCUCGUGAGGCUUUUUGCAUGUACCUUAUGAAUAAGGACCGGCUAAUUCCGUGCCAGCAGCCGCGGUAAUACGGAAGGUCCGGGCGUUAUCCGGAUUUAUUGGGUUUAAAGGGAGCGUAGGCCGGAGAUUAAGCGUGUUGUGAAAUGUAGACGCUCAACGUCUGCACUGCAGCGCGAACUGGUUUCCUUGAGUACGCACAAAGUGGGCGGAAUUCGUGGUGUAGCGGUGAAAUGCUUAGAUAUCACGAAGAACUCCGAUUGCGAAGGUAGCUCACUGGAGCGCAACUGACGCUGAAGCUCGAAAGUGCGGGUAUCGAACAGGAUUAGAUACCCUGGUAGUCCGCACGGUAAACGAUGGAUGCCCGCUGUUGGUCUGAAUAGGUCAGCGGCCAAGCGAAAGCAUUAAGCAU
rnacentral:rRNA from 1 species